rnacentral:rRNA from 1 species
UACGUAGGGCGCAAGCGUUGUCCGGAAUUAUUGGGCGUAAAGAGCUCGUAGGCGGCCAGUUGCGUCUGCUGUGAAAUCCCGGGGCUCAACCCCGGGCGUGCAGUGGAUACGGGCUGGCUAGAGGCAGGCAGGGGAGAACGGAAUUCCCGGUGUAGCGGUGAAAUGCGCAGAUAUCGGGAGGAACACCGGUGGCGAAGGCGGUUCUCUGGGCCUGUACUGACGCUGAGGAGCGAAAGCGUGGGGAGCGAAC